ACACACAGGUGUUAAAAGCAGGGCAGACGAUAACACACACACAGGUGUUAAAAGCAGGGCAGACGAUAACAUACACACAGGUGUUAAAAGCAGGGCAGACGAUAACACACACACAGGUGUUAAAAGCAGGGCAGACGAUAACACACACACAGGUGUUAAAAGCAGGGCAGACGAUAACAUACACACAGGUUUUAAAAGCAGGGCAAACGAUAACACACACACAGGUGUUAAAAGCAGGGCAGACGAUAACAUACACACAGGUGUUAAAAGCAGGGCAGACGAUAACAUACACAGGUGUUAAAAGCAGGGCAGACGAUAACAUACACAGGUGUUAAAAGCAGGGCAGACGAUAACAUACACAGGUGUUAAAAGCAGGGCAGACGAUAACAUACACACACACACACAGGUGUUAAAAGCAUGGCAGACGAUAACACACACACACACAGGUUUUAAAAGCAGGGCAAACGAUAACACACACACACACAGGUUUUAAAAGCAGGGCAGACGAUAACACACACACACACAGGUUUUAAAAGCAGGGCAGACGAUAACACACACACACACAGGUGUUAAAAUCAGGGCAGACGAUAACAUACACACACACACAGGUUUUAAAAGCAGGGCAGACGAUAACACACACAGAGGUGUUAAAAGCAGGGCAGA